AAGAGAUGGUCCAAAACUGGAACUUAUGUUCAGAAGGGAAACAGAACAUAAAAAUUUGGAAAAUAUGCAGCCUGACCAUGUGGUAGAAAAGAAAAACACAUGUUCUGAGGAGACAUUCAAGCUGUCAGCUGCAGAAAUUUGCAUAAGUAAUGAGAGGCCCCAAGACAAAUGGGGAAGAUGUCUCUAGGGCAUUUCAGAGAUCUUCACAGCAGCCCCUCCCAUCACAGGCUCAGAGACCUAGGAGAGAAAAAUGGUUUUGUGGACCAGGCUCAGGGCCCUGUUGCUCUGUGCAGUCCUGGAACACAGCACCCUUAUCCCAGCUGCUCCAGCUCCAGCAGUGGAGGCCAAGGUACAGCUUGGGCCAUUGCUUCAGAGGGUGUAAGCCCCAAGCCUUGGCAGCUUACACAUGGUGUUGGGCCUAAAGGCAGGCAAAAGGAAAGAAUUGAGGUUUAGGAACCUCUGACAAGAUUUCAGAGGAUGUAUGGAAAUGCCUGGAUGUCCAGGCAGAAGUCUGCUGCAGGGGUGGAGCCCUUACGAAGAACCUCUACUCGGGAAGUGUGGAAGGAAAAUGUGGGGUCAGAGCCCCUACACAGAGUCCCCACUGCAGCACUACCUAGUAGAGCUGUGAGGAGAGGGCCACCAUCCUUCAGACCCCAGAAUGACAGGCUCACGGCAGAAGAGACUUCCCUUGUCUUAGAUGAGACUUCAGACUUGGACUUUUGGGUUAAUGCUAGAAUAAGUUAAACUUUGGGAGACUGUUGGGAAGGCAUGAUUGAGUUUUUAAAUGUGAGAAGGCCAUGAGAUUUGGGAGGGGCUGGGGGUGUAAUGAUAUGGUUUGGCUCUUUUUCCCCACCCAAAUCUCUUCUCUAAUUGUAAUCCACAUGUAUCAAGGGAGGGACCUGGUGGGAGGUGAUUGAAUCAUGAGGCAGUUUCCCCUAUACUGUUCUCAUGAUAGUGAAUGAGUUCUUAUGGGAUCUGAUUGUUUAAAAAUAUAGCACUUUCACCUCCCACCUCUCUCCUGUUGCCAUGUAAGGCGUGCCUUGCUUUCCCUUCACCUUCCACCAUGAUUGUAAGUUUCCUGAGGCCUCCCUAACCAUGAGGAACUAUGAGUCAAUUAAACCUCUUUUC
rnacentral:lncRNA from 10 species